GGGACCAUAGUUUCAACGGUUAAAACUGCCGCCUCCAAAGCGGCUGUUGGGGGUUCGAAUCCUCCUGGUCCCA
rnacentral:tRNA from 1 species